GACGAACGCUGGCGGCGUGCUUAAUACAUGCCAGUCGAACGGAAAGGCCCUGCUCUUGCGGGUUGCUCGAGUGGCGAACGGGUGAGUAACACGCGAGUAACCCGCCCUUGUCUUUGUGAUAUCUUCAGGAAACUGGGGAUCAUACCGCAUAGGAGCUCCUGAUGCACGGUGGUGGUUGGAGAGUUUCGGCUGUUGUGGCUUGACUCGCGGGUUAUCAGCUUGAUUGUGGAGUAGUUGCAUUCCAAGGUUGUGACGGAUAGCCGGCCUGAGAGGGUGAACGGCCACAAUAGGACUGAGGUACGGACCAGACUGCAACGGGAGGCAGCAGUGGAGAAUAUUGCGCAGUGAGCGGAAGCCUGAUGCAGCGACGCCGCGUGCGUGAUGACGGCCUUCGGGGUAUAAACCGCUUUCGCAUGUGACGAAGAGUGAGUGACGGUAAUGGGUAAAAAAGCACCGGCUAACUACGUG
rnacentral:rRNA from 1 species